rnacentral:rRNA from 1 species
AGUGAACGCUGACGGUAGGCCUAACACAUGCAAGUCGAACGGCAGCACAGUAAGAGCUUGCUCUUACGGGUGGCGAGUGGCGGACGGGUGAGGAAUACAUCGGAAUCUACUUUUUCGUGGGGGAUAACGUAGGGAAACUUACGCUAAUACCGCAUACGACCUACGGGUGAAAGCAGGGGAUCUUCGGACCUUGCGCGAUUGAAUGAGCCGAUGUCGGAUUAGCUAGUUGGCGGGGUAAAGGCCCACCAAGGCGACGAUCCGUAGCUGGUCUGAGAGGAUGAUCAGCCACACUGGAACUGAGACACGGUCCAGACUCCUACGGGAGGCGGCAGUGGGGAAUAUUGGACAAUGGGCGCAAGCCUGAUCCAGCCAUACCGCGUGGGUGAAGAAGGCCUUCGGGUUGUAAAGCCCUUUUGUUGGGAAAGAAAAGCAGCAGGUUAAUACCCCGCUGUUCUGACGGUACCCAAAGAAUAAGCACCGGCUAACUUCGUG